rnacentral:tRNA from 1 species
CGGAGUAUAGCGCAGCCUGGUAGCGCACUUGUUUUGGGUACAAGUGGUCGGGGGUUCAAAUCCCUCUACUCCGA